GAUGAACGCUGGCGGCGUGCCUAAUACAUGCAAGUCGAGCGAACAGACGAGGAGCUUGCUCCUCUGACGUUAGCGGCGGACGGGUGAGUAACACGUGGAUAACCUACCUAUAAGACUGGGAUAACUUCGGGAAACCGGAGCUAAUACCGGAUAAUAUAUUGAACCGCAUGGUUCAAUAGUGAAAGACGGUUUUGCUGUCACUUAUAGAUGGAUCCGCGCCGCAUUAGCUAGUUGGUAAGGUAACGGCUUACCAAGGCAACGAUGCGUAGCCGACCUGAGAGGGUGAUCGGCCACUCUGGAACUGAGACACGGUCCCGACUCCUACGGGAGGCAGCAGUAGGGAAUCUUCCGCAAUGGGCGAAAGCCUGACGGAGCAACGCCGCGUGAGUGAUGAAGGUCUUCGGAUCGUAAAACUCUGUUAUUAGGGAAGAACAAAUGUGUAAGUAACUAUGCACGUCUUGACGGUACCUAAUCAGAAAGCCACGGCUAACUACGUG
rnacentral:rRNA from 1 species